CAGCAGCCGCGGUAAUACAGAGGGUGCGAGCGUUAAUCGGAUUUACUGGGCGUAAAGCGUGCGUAGGCGGCUUCUUAAGUCGGAUGUGAAAUCCCUGAGCUUAACUUAGGAAUUGCAUUCGAUACUGGGAAGCUAGAGUAUGGGAGAGGAUGGUAGAAUUCCAGGUGUAGCGGUGAAAUGCGUAGAUAUCUGGAGGAAUACCGAUGGCGAAGGCAGCCAUCUGGCCUAAUACUGACGCUGAGGUACGAAAGCAUGGGGAGCAAACAGGAUUAGAUACCCGCGUAGUCCCUGUCUCUUAUAC
rnacentral:rRNA from 1 species